rnacentral:lncRNA from 1 species
AAGAGUCUUUCAGUUAUGCUUAUACUCCUUAUAAAACACCAUGAUCGUUCAUUUUAUCCAUCCAUCAGGAAAUCAUCAAGGCACCAUUACGGGAAGAUAAGGAAUCAAGAACAUGGCAUCAUCUUAUUCAACUUUAACAUUUCCAUGUAAGUAAAACUGAAUUAUGAUUAAUCUUUAUGUGAAAUUGAUCAUUGAUCAUGUUUCUAAACCUUCAUUUGGUAUCAAAGCAUGGUUUUAAUUAAGUUUUUAUGCCCUAAUUUCAGUUUUAUUGUUUGAUUCAUAAUGAAUUGGUUCAUAAGAACCCUAAAAUCUCAACCCUAAUUUUUGAAUUUCUGGUAUUACAAGAUAAUGAAUGGGGAUUUAAUUAUUAGAAACAAAUGCUUUCGAAACUGCGAUUACUAAAAGAAUCAUGUGGUUCAUGUAAAAAUCACUGGCAAAAAGUAAACUUUGUCAUUACUACAUAAUUAUGGUUCCAGAAUUUUUGAUAAAGUCCAUGCCUUCUUUGUUGAAAAGCCUCAAUACGUUCACUAAAAUGAACAAAUAUAUAUUUUAAUUUCAUGUUCCUUUAUGGAACUUGUGGUUUCAAGAAAGCUCUUAUAGGAGAGUAUGUUUUUUUUCUUUUGUUAUCUGACAUACGCAAGAAGGAGAGUAUUUUUUUUCUUUUGUUAUCUGACAUACACAAGAAGGCUUGUAGCCUUUAGGGUUAUUACUUUAUUAUAUGUAUAUAUUUUUUUGAUGAAUAAUUUAUGCCAAAAGACCCAUUGUAAUUGUAAACGAAUAUUGGUUUUGGUUUUGAGUUUGGCUUCUAAAUUUCUAAUAGUACAUUUUACAAUCAUAUGAUAAUCAUUAGAUUUCAAAGUUAUUUUAUUUUUGAUUUGCUGGUUCAUGAUCAAUAUUGAAACUUUUAAAUUUUCAUGGUUUAUUAUUAUUAAUGUCUUAAUAAAAUUGAUCCAAAAAGAAACUAUUAGAUUCGAUGUUUAUGAAAAUGAUAAGUGGACUCUAAUGGGUUUUGAAGUGAGAACCAUAAAAGAAUCAUGUUUUGUCAUAUCUUCCCCACCACUUACGUAAUUGUCUCAUCAUAAUUUUAACAUAUCAUCAUAAUCGAGGAUUUCUUUAAAUUCAAUGUUAAUAGUAAAUUUUAAACAAGUAUAGCCUCUACUUGAUAUAUUAGUAAUUUAUUUUGUGGUUAAUUGUUUACCAAACAUUCCAUCAAACUUGAAUGUAAUUAAAUUUGGUUAUGCAAAUUAUGAUGGAAAAUGUGGAUUCUCUUAUUCCACAAUCAUUGAUAAUGUCAGGCUUUUUUAUCUUUUGUCAAGUUAUCAUGUAUAAUCUUACCAAUGAUUAUAUACUUUUCCAUUUUAUUUGUUUACAUUUAGUUUGGCAUCAAAUUAACAUGAUUGACAUUUUAUUUAUGGUUACUUUGCCACUAUAAGAAAGUUAUUGUAACUGACCUUUAUUUAUAAACCUCAUUUGAUAAAUUAUAAGUUUAUAAUUUUAAACAAUAAGUGGUAAUUAACUUCUAUGUUGCACUUAAGUGAAUGGACCAAAGAAAGGUCACUUAAGUUUGACAUUAGAGUUAAUGAAACGCCACAUUAAACAAUUGUCUGAGUUAUUGUUCUAUGACCCAAAGGCUAAUUGGAUGACAACUAUCACAAUGAAUUUUAGCAUAAUAUGCAUAAGUAUUGUAUUUCUACCCAAAGGUGAUUGCAAUAUUUAUGUAGCGAAUUAUAACUUUUAGGAUACCAAAAUAUUCAACCAUUGGUCUAGCCAAAGCGAAACUGAUACUUGAGUCAGGUGUCUAUACGACUUAUUAUUUUGGUGUUAAUAAUAAGUAUAUUGGUAUGUUUUAUCAUGCUAUCCCAUGAAAUGCCUUUAAUAUCACUUUAAAAAAAUUGCAACUUAAAUAAGUGAUCAGGAUAUUUCUAAUAAGGUACAAAAACUUUGUUGAAAAUAUUGUCAUUACCAGGAAUGAAACUUUUGCAAAAGGAAAGAAUGAAUUGCAAGGAAAGAUGGAUUAUAUGCAUCUAUGAUUUAUUUAUAAGUUCAAUUGUACGUAUGUUUUUUUUUCUUUCACUACAGGGAUUCCAUACAAUCCGAAAGAUGGAUUGAACUUACGGAACAAUUAAUGUUGGUAAUGAUGAAGACUUGAACAUAGAAACACUUAGCUAUGCAAGUUAUUUUUCAUGUUUUUUUUGAAGUGGAUAUUUCUUAUGUCUUAAAGACACUCUUUAUGUAUCGAGUAUAACUUGAAACUAAUUAUUUGUAUCAAAGUUAGCGAAUGUUGGCUAUACUUUUAUGAUUGGAUACAAUAAUGUAAUUGUUAGUUACAAUUCUCAUAUUGUUGGCUAUGGUUGUUUAAAGAAAUACCUUUAUGAUUAUAAGUAAACAACCAUUUUAUGGAAC